AUCUAUUUUUAAUUCCACUUAAAAUUUCAAGUUGAUCUAUUUAUUUUUUAUAAUUUUUAUCGAUAAUAUUUUUUAAAAUAAUAAAAAUAAUUUUUUUAGAAUAAAAAAGAGUAAUUUGAUCAUUUCGCCCUUCGAUCAACGCCGUAAAUCACAAAAAAUAUUUAUAAAAUUUUAAAAGAACAAAAUAUACAUUUUUAAAAGGGUAAACCUCAAAUGCCCUCUUGUGGUUUCAUACUUUCUCACUUAGUACCCUUUAGUUUAAAGUGUAUCAAGUUAGCCCAUAUGGUUUCGCACUUUCUCACCUUAAUACUCUGUAGUUUAAAGUAUAUCAAGUUAGUACCCCGUGGUAUCAUUUUUCUCUUUUUAUUCACUAAUUUUUUUCGUUAAAUCAGUGACAAAGUUACAGUUAAGGGGCACUAAAGUGAAUAUUCGAUAAAUCUAGGUAGGAUAUCUGAAACUUUUUGUAUAUAAUUUAACAAAUUAUUAAUGGAAGAAAAAAAUAAGUGACAAAGUUAAAAGUAAAGGAUACUUAAGUAAAUAAUCGAUAAAUCUAGAUAGGAUAUCUAUAAUUUUUUGUAUAUACUUUAACGAAAUAUUAAUAAAAGAGCCGACGAAAAGUGAAAAAUGAAACCACAUGAUACUAAAUUGAUGUACUUUAAACCACAUGGUGCUAAAGUGAGAAAGUACGAAACCAUAUGGUACUAAAUUGAUACACUUUAAAAUAUAUGGUACUAAAGUGAAAAAGUGUGAAACCAUAUGGGUGGUAUUUGAAGUUUUUUUAUUUUAAAAGCUAGAGAGAAAAAAAAUAAAAAAAUAUAUAUUUGUAGAAGAAAGUGUAAUUUGAUCAUUUCGUCUUUCGAUCAACGCCGUAAACCAUAGAACGUAUUUCUAAAAUUUUAAGGGAGUAAAAUAUAAAUUUUUGAAAGCUAGAGAGAAAAAAUAAAAAAAUAGAUAUUUGUAAGAAGAUUUUUUGUAUCUUAGCCAAAAUUUUUCUAUACUGUACUCUUCUAUAUAUCUUCUUAAGUAUCCAUUUUUUUCUGUUAUAAUUUAUAGUUAUAACAGUUAAUUCAAUACUGUAACAAUUUUAUCAUUAUUUUAGGGCAUUUCUCACAAGCUCAACCUAAAUAAAUUUAAACAUCCAGAUAAUAAAAUUAAAAUGGUUACAAAUCGAAGAAAAGUAACACAGAGUACCUUUCUUUUCUGAUAAUGAUUAUAUGUAACUGGAAAAGCCACGCUUCGCAACGCAUCACCUCAACGAAAAAUUUUAGAAUGUACAUAUUAUACCGGUGACGUGGCAUCUCUAACCAACUAAAUAUUUUUUUUUAUAUUAAUCCGUCGAAUCAUAAUUUAAAAUAUUAUUUGUAUUAUACUUUUUAAAUAUAUAUAUAUAAUUAAU
rnacentral:lncRNA from 1 species